ACCCCUACAGUGAGAAGACUUUUUAACAAUGGGGUCGAAAAGCAUUUGGCUGUUCAUUAUUGUAGUGAUUUUAACUCAACAAGGUAUCAGUGGUGAUGAAAUCCGGUUGGAUCAGUCACCUGCUGAGAUAAAGAGACCUGGAGAAACAGUGAAGAUCUCCUGUAAAAUAUCUGGUUUUACAAUGACAGACUACUUGAUGCACUGGAUACGACAGAAACCAGGGAAAGCUCUGGAGUGGAUUGGGAGAGUUAACUCUGGCAGUAGUUCUAGCUCUAGUUAUCUUAUUUAUGCAGACUCCAUGAAAAAUCACUUCACGCUGAGUGAGGACGUGUCUCAAAGUACACAGUAUCUUGAAGCCAAGAGUCUGAGAGAAGAGGACACUGCUGUUUAUUACUGUGCUCGACAGACACAGUGA